AACACACAGAGGUCUAUUUUUACCCUUAUAUUUUAAUUUCGUUAUUUUUUUUUUUUACCUUUUCAUUUAUAUUGUUGUAAAUAGAUUUCCCUAGCCUGAUUAGAAUAGAAACAGUAUGGACAUGGUUAAGGUGCAGACCUAUGCAAGAGAUUUCCUGAACAGCUGCAGGUAUCCAUCAGAUUAUUUCUAAUUAUCGAUCUCUCUCCAUUCCUUAGCAUAGUUAUCAGAUAGUAGGUGGUGGGCAGAAUACACUCACCCUAAGGAGUGGAAACAAAUGGAUAGAAAAGGGAUAAAAACAGACAUGCACAAGAUCUCUAUUAGUAAAAGAAAGCCCCCAUAAAAGCUAAGAGAAAUAAAUGAAUUAUAGUAGGUGAAAAAGCCUACACCUACUAGGAGAUCUCUUACCGGAUGCUACAAAUUGUUAAUCUAAAUAGAACUUAAAAACUCUAAAACAUAAAAUCGGAACCACUUAUAAAUGCAUGAAUUAAUAGAAUAGUAAAAUACAAAAAAAAAACUUAGAAUACAAAAAACACUGGUUGCAAUAUACAUAAAUUCACUAGGUGGCAGCCUUGCAUCAAAAGAUCAUCGGUAUAGAGAGAAUCUUCUACUAAACAGCGAAAACUCUUAAUAUAAAAAGUGUGAAAAAGACUUAGGAUUGGUAGGUAUUACCACAGUGACUGCAAUGAAAGUAUAAAACUAGAUUAUCCAAAACAACUUGAUAGUCCAAUAAAAU